UCUCUUCACCCAGGGACACUGAGUGCCUGUUCCUCUUAGCGUCACAUAACUCGGGAUGUUUGGGAACCGCAGCCCCUCCGGCUGAAGUGUCCACCUGUGCUGACUGAUUCUGGCACUUGAAGCAUUGCCGGGCACGCUUUCUCUGGCUGCUGCAGGUGCUCCAGCUUUGUCCUCCCUCUCGGGGCCGCCAGGACCCAGGGGAAGGCUCUGGAGUGAGUCAUUCCCCCCAGGGUUCUCCCAUUCUGCUGCCUCGGGGCCCCGGCACUGGGUGUGGACCGCCCGGGCAUAGCAUGACCCUGAGUGAGAUGAGGAGACUCUGCAGCAGCUGACCACCGGAGGCGGCUGCAGACCACACGCCGCAACUACACAACCCAUCUUUGUUUCUAGCAUAGUCCACACCUGCCUUAGUCCACCUGGGCUGCCGCAACAAAUGACCCUAAACUGGGUGGCUCAACAGCAAGCAUUGAUUGAUCAGUGCUCUGAAGGCUGGACGCGAAGGAGCCGGCAGAUUCAGUGUCUGUGAAGGUCACUCCCUGGUUGUAGCCUGCUGUCCCUUCAUCGUAUCCUCACAUGGCAGACAGCAGAGAGAAAAAGGAGAAAACACGCUGUCUUGAAGACCAGGACCUCUAAACCUGCAGAGCCCAGCAGGAAAGGGAAGCACGUCCUCCGUGAGUGAUAGAAUCAGGCAUGAGUCACGGGGCCAUCACCUGAAGCUCCCUCAUGGUGAAGCUGUCCCUUGCCACUGCCUUCCAAGGCAUCGUGCAGCUGCCAUCCAUUUUGUGCACACACCGUAUAUCAAACCAACCUGCCCGUGAAGCAAAGGUAAGACUCACUGCACAAUGUUGAAUUAACUCAUGAGAGGCGACAUCCUUCUCUUAUUCCUGAUCAUAGGUGUAAAGCACUUGGAUUCUCACCAACUUGUUAUCACUCAUCAUAAAAGCAAUCCUUCUCUGCUUUCCUGAUGUCUGCCUUUCUCUGCUUGUCUGACACAAGUUUCCCUGCGGUUCAUACAGAUUUGAUGCCUCUAUUCAUCUUCCAGCUCCUUCUGCGGCUUAGCUUUCCUCCUUCCUUCCCUCACUGUAAUUGGAUCGCUCAUCUCCGGCAGGAAAUCUUGCCAAACUGGAGUUUGCUCCCGCUCACCUAGGGAAAAUCACCUGGUAAGGUCAUCAGGAUGCUGCAUCUGGCCAUUGUCUCCUCAGCUCCCUGCUAGCUGCUGACUAAACUCUAAUUUGGUGUUGAGAUUGCUUUUGCACUGGGCUUCUUUCACUAAGUGUGUUUAAUCUGCUGUGAAAUUGUUUUCAUGGUUGCAGUCAGUGUUAUAGUAACAGUUUAACAAUGUGCAUUUCUUUGCUUUGCAAAGGGUCUUGGCAGUCUCUAUGCAAAUUAGCACUUGUCUAAUGUCAUUAUGCAUGGUUCCUGGGAGAGCAGCAACUGGAAUCCUGGAUAAACUUGUCCACUCAGUCUGGGGGAUAAGGAGACUGGGAUAAAGAAGCAGAAACUCUCUCACGGAUGGAUGGACCAGGCCUUACCUUGACGUAUGUGAUCUUCCCUUUAACCUGUGACCUUGUGUUUGGGACGGUAGUAAGAAGAUUUCAUUAAACCAGCUGAACUUUUAUCAUCUGAGGCCGAAUGUCAAACUCUACCCUGAAAUGCAACAUAGUGGGCUUAGACUGGUGUAAGAAAGUAUGUUUUGAUUCGGGUUAGUUGUGGAAGCUAUAUUUCAGGUGGAAGCAUAGGGUACAUUGGGGUUAGAGACUUAGCCUAUGAUAUUGUAAGAAAGGGGGAGUGAGGGGCUAUAUUGUCCAACAAUUGUAAUGUAUAUUUAGUUCUCCUAAUUCUGGCAACAAUUCUGCAAAGUUAGAUGCAGAGAUUGCAUUCCCUUGGAAGCUUACUCUGAGAUGGAGUUCGGAAAGCAGAAUGCUUAUUGUGAAGAUAAAUAAUUCAAAUUAAAGCUGUUGGAACUUUAAAGUAUUUUGAGCCUCUAAGGGAAUGUGAAUUGUGAGACCUGAGUCAUGUAGCAUGCAGCUACAGCUUCUGUUCCUUCCUGUAAAUGAUAAGAAAAGGCCUUGUGGCACCAGAGAGCAGACCCCCUCAGAUUGUCACCCCUCCUCAGAAAGCGCUGGAGCACUGUUCCUUAGAAUGUAGCAAACUGUGAGCAAUCACAUCCCUGCAACUGUGUACUGGCCAUGUAUGGAAAUGUGUGAUCCUGCCAAACCUCUUUGUUUCUGCCUAUAUUAAUAAAACCUUAAUUUCCUCACU
ensembl:lncRNA novel transcript